rnacentral:rRNA from 2 species
AACGUAGGGGACAAGCGUUAUCCGGAUUUACUGGGCGUAAAGCGCCCGUAGGCGGCUUUUUAAGUUGGACGUGAAAGCUCCCGGCUUAACUGGGAGAGGCCGUUCAAAACUGAGAGGCUAGAGUGAGGCAGAGGAGCGCGGAAUUCCCGGUGUAGUGGUGGAAUGCGUAGAUAUCGGGAGGAACACCAGUGGCGAAAGCGGCGCUCUGGGCCUAAACUGACGCUGAGGGGCGAAAGCGUGGGGAGCGAACGGG